rnacentral:rRNA from 1 species
GACGAACGCUGGCGGCGUGCUUAACACAUGCAAGUCGAACGGAAAGGCCUCUUUCGGGGGGUACUCGAGUGGCGAACGGGUGAGUAACACGUGAGUAACCUGCCCUUGACUUUGGGAUAACUUCAGGAAACUGGGGCUAAUACCGGAUAGGAGCUCCUGCUGCAUGGGGGGGGUUGGAAAGUUUCGGCGGUUGGGGAUGGACUCGCGGCUUAUCAGCUUGUUGGUGGGGUAGUGGCUUACCAAGGCUUUGACGGGUAGCCGGCCUGAGAGGGUGACCGGCCACAUUGGGACUGAGAUACGGCCCAGACUCCUACGGGAGGCAGCAGUGGGGAAUGUUGCACAAUGUGUGGAAGCCUAAUGCAGCAACGCCGUGUGCGCGAUGACGUCCUUCGGGUGGAAAACCGCUUUCGCUCAUGACGAAGCUUUGUGUGACGGUACUGGGUAAAGAAGCACCGGCUAACUACGUG